UUUUGGGCUUAAUGAUAGUGGAUGAUUGGAGAACUCCACAGUUAAGCGUGCUCAGGUGGGAGUAGUACUAGGAUGGGUGACCUCCUGGGAAGUCUCCACCGGGGCAACAA
rnacentral:sRNA from 1 species